CCCGGGCCCAAGCCCAAGCCGGAAACGAUUAUCGACCGCGAGUUGCCGUCUUCAACUUCAAACCUCGCAAGCCUCUCAGACUCGAAGCAAACCCCCAUCUCAAACCCACAGCGCACGGCCGGGCCGAGGGGAACUUUCGAGAAGCUUCUGUAAGAUUGGUUCGCUGCCUCGCGUCCGAUCCAUGGCGGCCGAGGGGGGCGGAGGAGGAGGCGGCGGCGGAGCCGGGGAGGGGUUCGAGGAGCGGGUGAAGCGCCUCUUCGGGUCGCGUCUCUUCGGCGACGUCCCGAGCUCCUCCUUCCCGGCAGCUUCCUGGUCCGUCGCCGCCGGAGAUGUUGAGCGCCAGCGCUGGGCGCGCCCGUCGGAGGCCCGCGACGAGGAGGAGGAGCGCGCCGCGGCCGAGCGCGCCGACACGCCAUGCUCGUCCGCGUUCUACGAUGCCAACGGGUGCCUCCGCGGCCGGAGGCGGCGGUCCAAGCAGGACUUUGAGGACGACCCCGAAGAUGAUGAGGAGGAUGAGGAGGAUGUGAGGGGCGAGGACGAUAGGAAGGAGGAGAAGGACGAGGAAGAGGAGGUUAGGGUUUCGAUCGGCCUCGACCCGACUCUGGAUCGGGAGGAAGAGGAGGACAAAUAUGAUAGAGCGGCAUUUGGUAAAGAAGAUGCUGCAGAACGUGUGUACAUGAGUGAAAUCAUGGAUGAGGGCAUUAAUAUGAGCAUCAAUACUGUAGUGCCUGACCUCCUUGAUGAUACCAUUGAUGAGAUCUGUGGUUUAUCCAAGGAUCCUCGGGCAGAUCUUGAUGCAGCAUCUGCAAGGCUCAGAGAAGACAAUAGUUCAGGUAAAAUUGGCCUUCAUUCUCCAACUCAAACCAAGGAGUGUCCAACUGCUGGAAUGCAAGCAAUGAGAGCUCAGGAUAUCGGUGUGAAACCUAUACUGAAGAGGAAGGAGGAGCAAGCCGAUUCAAAACCAAGGAAACGUGUGAGGUUUAAUGCCGAUGUUAAAGAACAACCAGUGGAGCUUCUUGAACAUGAUGAAGAUUCUCCCAUGGUUCCUCAGUCAAUGGAUGUGGUCACAACAAAGGGCAACUUGGGCAACUCCUCCACGCCGUCUGGGGUUCCUGACUAUGUUAGGAACCCUUCAAAGUACACAUGUUACACUAUGGAGACACCAGAGAGUACUGACGAAUCAAACAGGAGAGCUCUUGCAGACUUGCACAAUCUGUUAGGCAGAUCAGAUCCCAACAAGAUGCAGCCUGAGACACCUGCUGAGAUUCCUAGUUCAGUCACAUUCAUCCCUAGGAAGAAGUCAGUUGAUGCCAUGGUGGUGGAUGAGGGCCCCAGAUUUAGUAGUGCAAACCCAUCUCUCAUUAGUGCAGCAGCAGCAGUAGCCUCUGAUGGAACUGACCAAUGUGAGAUGGAUGAAGAUGACCCUAAAGCAUCACCACCACCACCACCACUGAUGCAGACCAACUCUAAGAUGAACUCCCGGCGUUACAGGUCAAGUAGAGCAGAUGAUGAGUAAAGCUGAUAUUCUGGAGCCCUUUGUCAAUGUAUGUUUAAGAAAAUUUACAAGUUUAAAACUUCUCGAUGAUGCUACAUGUGUUUAGUGGAUACUUUGUUGUACCUAUGCCUCGGUUUUGUGAUCCGAGUUGACCAGCUGUUGUUAAUUACGGUUUUAUUUAUAGUUGUUAAUUCAUGUUUGAAUUUCUUGUGCUGGGAGCUGUGGUUAAUGCAGUUGCACUCCUAGAAUUCAAUAAGUCACAGUGAUGAGCAGUGUAUGCUGAAACAUCUUUUGCUUCCCUUUGUAGUUUCGUGACAAACAUAGUGUUUUACUGUGCAUUCAAGAAUCAACUUGGAGAGAAACAGAACAUCCCUGCAGUCCACAAUUAA
rnacentral:rRNA from 1 species